GACGAACGCUGGCGGCGUGCUUAACACAUGCAAGUCGAACGGAAAGGCCCCUUUGGGGGUACUCGAGUGGCGAACGGGGGAGUAACACGGGGGUAACCUGCCCUUGACACCGGGAUAACUUCAGGAAACUGGGGCUAAUACCGGUAAGGAAUCCUUGCUGCAUGGUGGGGGAUGGAAAGCUUCUGCGGUUUUGGAUGGACUCGCGGCCUAUCAGCUUGUUGGUGGGGUAGUGGCGUACCAAGGCUCUGACGGGUAGCCGGCCUGAGAGGGCGACCGGCCACAUUGGGACUGAGAUACGGCCCAGACUCCUACGGGAGGCAGCAGUGGGGAAUAUUGCACAAUGGGCGGAAGCCUGAUGCAGCAACGCCGCGUGCGGGAUGACGGCCUUCGGGUUGUAAACCGCUUUCAGCAGGGGCGAAGCUUGUGGUGACGGUACCUGCAGAAGAAGCACCGGCUAACUACGUG
rnacentral:rRNA from 1 species